rnacentral:rRNA from 1 species
UACGAAGGGAGCUAGCGUUGUUCGGAAUCACUGGGCGUAAAGCGCACGUAGGCGGAUUUGCCAGUCAGGGGUGAAAUCCCGGGGCUCAACCUCGGAACUGCCUUUGAUACAGCAAGUCUUGAGUUCGAGAGAGGUGGGUGGAAUUCCUAGUGUAGAGGUGAAAUUCGUAGAUAUUAGGAAGAACACCGGUGGCGAAGGCGGCCCACUGGCUCGACACUGACGUUGAGGUGCGAAAGCGUGGGGAGCAAACAGG